AUACAGUUCUAAACAUGACCCCUCCAGACAGAAGCCAGCACGACUUGUGUUUGAUGUCAAACAGGAAGGAAAAGCUCGUAAACUGAUAACGGUCAGAUCAGCACUGAUUGUCAGAAAUGAACUUGACUCCAGCAUUGACCUUAAAAUGGCCACACACUCAGGCUUGGAAGGUAAAUUUAAUAUCAUGGAAAUCCCAGUCAAUGGAGCCUUACCACUUCCACUUCCAUAUGUGUCUUCCAUGCUCUAUGUCAGGCCAUCUGAUUGGCCGGUGAAGUAUUGCAAUCGACCAAUCAAUGGAGGCAUGUUCGUUUGGCAGGGGAAGUCAAGGAGAGAAUAAUGAAAUGUAUCUCUUCUGAAGGGAAUGGAGUUUAUAGAUUCUGUGUGUCGGUCAAGCGGGAGAACUACCCUGAGCAGUUACUGACAGAGGACUCGAGUUUGAUUCUACCAGGACACACUGUAUCCAUCCGUCCAGCUGUG